GGAGCAACCUCAACUCACUGCAACCUCCGCCUCCUGGGUUCAAGUGAUUCUCCUGCCUCAGCCUCUUGAGUAGCUGGGAUUACAGGUGCCCGCUACUAUGCCCAAUUAAUUUUUGUAUUUUUAGUAGAGACAGGGUUUUGCCAUGAUGGCCAGGCUGAUCUCAAACUCCAGAUCUCAAGUGAUCCACCUGCCUCGGCCUCCCGAAGUGCAGGGAUUACAGGUGUGAGCCACUGUGCCCGGCCAAGAGGGUUUUCUUGAAGAAACACAUCACUUCUUUAUUUCUGUGAAGAAUAUGGACAGAUACCCAGCCUGCUGUAGAAACUCUCUUAUUGUACCUGUUCAGAAACGGUCCAAGCAUUGGGUGGUGUGGCUUAUGUUGCAGAGCUCAACAGCAGCUGCCUUUUCCUUCAGCAACAGUGGAAGAAAAGGCCAAGACGUGCACAUUCCAAAUAUCUACUUGCAGAUUCUUGCGUGUGUUCCAAGGCUACACAAACAUUAUCCUUUUACAGGUGAGAAGAGAAACUGAGCCAACUGUCAACAAUUUGACCGUGCAGGCAGAGGCAGGAAGGAAGCGUUACUCACCUUUUCCUGGUGGUUGUGGGUUGAGUGAGCAAGUCUAGCUUGAAGGCCACAGGAAGUUGCUGCCUCCCUGCCGGCAUUACUCAGCAUUACACACCUAAUGCUAACCCCUGUCACAGGGUACACCGAUGUGGUCACUAUGGCCAGUGUUCCUGAUGCAGUGUCAGGAACAUUGUUAGAGAGCCAGGUCCUUCUCAAGGAAGAACAUUUUCUAGCAAAUAUGCAUUUGCAACAGAGAUUAAACUUGGAACUCUGAAAAGGAGUGUCAGUAUCUGUGUACAAAGUACUGUGGAUACACACUGAAGUCGAGGCUCAUAGAAGCCAAACAUUUUAGGAUCAUGGAAUCAUCAAGUAGGUCAGAGUUAUAUGCUGAGGGACUAUUGACCUGGAGCACAUUAAAUGCCACUCAGUUUUUUCAUCCGUUAGAAGGUGGCCAUGAAGACUGGAGGAUGGAGACGUAUUUAAAAGCACUGAGCACAAAGGAGGCACCCAAUCCAUGGUAGUAAUUAUUAUUCUACCCUUAUUAGCCCCCUAUGGAUUCAAUGUAUACCAUUCACUAGUUUGUUUAAAUAAUUUGUGAACCAGUUUAUAUUUUUCAAGUUGCCAUAUGUUUUAGUCAGGGCUCUCCAGAGAGUUAGAACCAAUAG
rnacentral:lncRNA from 1 species